rnacentral:tRNA from 1 species
UUUCCUUGUUGGAAUGGUGCGCGGACUGCCUUUUAAGCAGUGGGUCCGGGGUUCGAAUCCCCGGCGGGUCACCA